GGGGGCGACCCGGUUUCGACGUGGGUUGCAAAGCAGCGUAGGGCAUACCGAGGCUCAGUUACCUCGUAAAUCCAUCUGAAAAAAACUAGUCGCAAACGACGAAAACUACGCUCUAGCCGCUUAAUUGCCGGUUAGACUCUGCACCGGUUGGUCUCUGGGCCGGCUUGAAGCCGCAAGGUAACAAGAGCAGAGUCAUUAACAGAGACUCGUGUCGGUCCGGGUUGCUUGAACCGAUACUAAACUUAAGGCAACUAGCGUGAAUUCAGCCUGUUCGGUUGGCGUAAUUCGGGCGAAAUCAAAUAAUCGGACUAAGUAUGUAGAACUGCCUGUAGAGGGCUUGCGGACGGGGGUUCGAUUCCCCCCGCCUCCACCA
rfam:Sulfuricella denitrificans skB26 DNA, complete genome.